CCAAUAGCGUAUAUUAAAGUUGUUGCAGUUAAAAAGCUCGUAGUUGAAUUUCGGGAUCAAUAUGUCGGUCGUGCCUCCGGUACGUACUGGCGUUAUUGGUUUCUCCCUUCUGACGAACCACGAUGUCAUUAAUUUGGUGUCAUGGGGAAUCAGGACUGUUACUUUGAAAAAAUUAGAGUGUUUAAAGCAGGCUCACGCUUGAAUACAUUAGCAUGGAAUAAUGAAAUAGGACGUUUGAUUCUAUUUUGUUGGUUUCUAGGAUCGACGUAAUGAUUAAUAGGGAUAGUUGGGGGCAUUAGUAUUCAAUUGUCAGAGGUGAAAUUCUUGGAUUUAUUGAAGACUAACUACUGCGAAAGCAUUUGCCAAGGAUGUUUUCAUUAAUCAAGAACGAAAGUUAGGGGAUCGAAGACGAUCAGAUACCGUCGUAGUCUUAACCAUAAACUAUGCCGACUAGGGAUCGGAUGAUGUUAAUUUUCUAAUGACUCAUUCGGCGCCUUACG
rnacentral:rRNA from 1 species